rnacentral:rRNA from 1 species
CCCUAUGGGGCGCAGCAGGCCGGUGCAUCAAAAAGACGGUUCUGGAGCUGGGAGGUUCCGAUGCCUUUAUCGUGUUGGAUGACGCCGACCUGGAUGCUGCAGUAAAAACCGCGGUUACCGCGAGGAUGCUCAACCAGGGCCAGAGUUGCAUUGCAGCUAAACGAUUCAGUGUAGUGGAUUCGGUUGCACGGGAGUUCGAACAGGCAUUAAAAUUGGAAAUGGAGCGGCGUUUAGCCGGCGAUCCGAUGGAUGCGUCGACCCAGGUGGCGCCCCUGGCACGCCCCGAUCUUGUGGAUGAUAUUGAAAGGCAGGUCAAUGAAUCGGUACAAUCGGGAGC